CAAAAUAAUCAGAAGUAUGCUAAAUUCAGAUAUUAUUCAAGAUGAGUGCUACCAUUUUUUCUGAGUGUAGUAUUUAAAAAUCUUUGUAAAAUCUGGUUUGACUUACACAGAGCUUCCAUGGCUGGCUGUUUCACCUGGGUGUGGUGAGAUAAUGUUUGCAGAAAUACAGAGGUGUGUAUAACUGAACUUUUAGAAAAUUAAGAAAAUCCACCAGAUUUCUAUGAAUAGUUUUUAGUGAUUUUGCAAGCUCUCCUGGAACUCUGUAGUAGAGGCUGAGAUAGGAUUUAGUACUAAUUGGUGCUUUCAGCCAUCUCUUUCAUCAACUUCCCUUUACCAUUCAGUGCUUGAUGAUCACUUACAUUUGCGUUUCUACAACUAGUGAGAGCAUUCCUCAGGAGCACAGAUUAAUCCAUAGAAUUUGGCAGUUUGUGGUUUCUACCUGAGAGUCAGAAUUGUAUUUUGUACUGUUUGGUGCUGUGUAUGUAUGAUAAUAUUCUCUGUUCCUGGGCACCUUAAGGAAGCAUCAGAAAUACUUAGAAUUGCUUAGAGGACUAAGUUGCAGUGUCUUUCAGAUUAUGGCUAAAUAGCUGGAUCUUUUUCUUGUCACAAAUUUUUGAAGGUAUGAAUAAUAUUUUGUACUCUAAUAUUGUAUACGUAAAUUUUGUUUCAUUCCCAACAGUCUUAUAAACAAAAUAUUUUUAUCACAUAUUUAUUCCUCUUGUUGAUGAAUGUAGUCAAAUCUAUAGCAAAGACAUUUAAGUUUCUCCACUGACUUUAGAGGCCAGGCAACUAGAA
rnacentral:lncRNA from 1 species